UGGAGCUGUGGCUCAGCAGUAGAGCACUUGCCUGGCAUACAUGAGGCCCUGGGUUCAAUCCCCAGCACUGCAA
rnacentral:tRNA from 1 species